UACGUAGGGUGCGAGCGUUGUCCGGAAUUAUUGGGCGUAAAGGGCUCGUAGGCGGUUUGUCGCGUCGGGGAGUGAAAACUCAGGGCUUAACCCUGAGCCUGCUUCCGAUACGGGCAGACUAGAGUGCGGUAGGGGAGAUUGGAAUUCCUGGUGUAGCGGUGGAAUGCGCAGAUAUCAGGAGGAACACCGGUGGCGAAGGCGGUUCUCUGGGAAUGUCCUGACGCUGAGGAGCGAAAGUGUGGGGAGCGAACAGG
rnacentral:rRNA from 1 species